UUUGGGCCGACUUAAUAUUCACAUGGAAAACUUAAUAAUUGUCACAUAUUUAUCACCACAAGCAUGUUCGAAUUCCUGCCAAAUAACAAUCUUCCUUAGGGCCGGUGUUAAACGCAUGGAAUACUAACAUACACAGUCAUCUUAUACUUAAAAAUCAAUCAAUCUACACAAAAGAGGUUACUUUGGUAACAUAAUGUUUCAAUUGACCAAUUU
rnacentral:lncRNA from 1 species